rnacentral:rRNA from 1 species
UUGAACGCUGGCGGAAUGCUUUACACAUGCAAGUCGAGUGGCAGCGCGGGGGCAACCCUGGCGGCGAGCGGCGAAUGGGUGAGUAAUGUAUCGGAACGUACCCUGUCGUGGGGGAUAACACAGCGAAAGCUGUGCUAAUACCGCAUACGACCUGAGGGUGAAAGCGGGGGAUCGCAAGACCUCGCGCGAUAGGAGCGGCCGAUAUCGGAUUAGCUUGUUGGUGAGGUAAAGGCUCACCAAGGCGACGAUCCGUAGCUGGUCUGAGAGGAUGAUCAGCCACACUGGAACUGAGACACGGUCCAGACUCCUACGGGAGGCAGCAGUGGGGAAUUUUGGACAAUGGGUGCAACCCUGAUCCAGCCAUUCCGCGUGAGUGAAGAAGGCCUUCGGGUUGUAAAGCUCUUUCAGCAGGAACGAAACGGUGGCUACUAAUACUAGCUACUAAUGACGGUACCUGAAGAAGAAGCACCGGCUAACUACGU